AUCCCUCGCAAGAACGCUCUUUGCGAUACCGUGGUUUCGGUUAAACCGCAGGGUAAUCUGAGGGUCCCAUAAAAGAAAGUUGCCCAGCAAUUACACAUCAUCGGAAAUAGCAUAUCAACAAACCUGCUGUUGAGCUCAGGUUAAUCUUGUUGUAAACUAGCGAAAUUCAGCAUGAAUGAUCAUAAACAUG